rnacentral:tRNA from 1 species
GGUUCCAUAGUGUAGCGGUUAGCACAUCUGCUUUACAAGCAGGAGAUCCUGGGUUCAUGCCCCAGCAGAGCCA